rnacentral:tRNA from 1 species
GCGCCCGUAGCUCAACGGACAAGAGCACCAGGCUUCGACCCUGGGUGGUGGGAGUUCGAAUCUCUCCGGGCGCU